rnacentral:rRNA from 1 species
UACGGAGGGUGCGAGAGUUGUUCGGAAUCACUGGGCGUAAAGCGCGUGUAGGCGGUCUGGCAAGUCUGGUGUGAAAGCCCGGGGCUCACCCCCGGAAGUGCACUGGAAACUGCCAGACUCGAGUCCCGGAGAGGAGAGUAGAAUUCCUGGUGUAGCGGUGAAAUGCGUAGAGAUCAGGAGGAAUACCGGUGGCGAAGGCGGCUCUCUGGACGGUGACUGACGAUGAGACGCGAAAGAGUGGGGAGCAAACAGG